rnacentral:rRNA from 1 species
CUCUGUGACUCCUACGGGAGGCAGCAGUGGGGAAUAUUGCACAAUGGGGGAAACCCUGAUGCAGCCAUGCCGCGUGUGUGAAGAAGGCCUUCGGGUUGUAAAGCACUUUCAGUAGGGAGGAAGGUAGUGUAGUUAACACCUGCAUUAUUUGACGUUACCUACAGAAGAAGCACCGGCUAACUCCGUGCCAGCAGCCGCGGUAAUACGGAGGGUGCGAGCGUUAAUCGGAAUUACUGGGCGUAAAGCGCAUGCAGGCGGCCUGUUAAGUCAGAUGUGAAAGCCCGGGGCUUAACCUCGGAAUUGCAUUUGAAACUGGCAGACUAGAGUACUGUAGAGGGGGUAGAAUUUCAGGUGUAGCGGUGAAAUGCGUAGAGAUCUGAAGGAAUACCGGUGGCGAAGGCGGCCCCCUGGACAGAUACUGACACUCAGAUGCGAAAGCGUGGGGAGCAAACAGGAUUAGAUACCCUGGUAG